rnacentral:tRNA from 1 species
GGAGGCGUGGUUCAGCGGCAGAGCAUCUGCUUGGCAUGCAGAAGGUCCCAGGUUCAAACCCCAGCCUCUCCA